rnacentral:lncRNA from 1 species
CUCCAGUCCUCUCCUCACAGUGUGGAAACACUCUUUCCUUCAAAACCUUCAUUUGUACCAGCAGGAAACUCUCACCCGGAGUCAAUGUAAAGUCGUGACCUAAAUAAAUUGUCAUGUUCCCAAACCUUUUCUCCAGGGGACAAUGCAAACAAGUUUUUCACUGAGUCUGACCCUCACAGAUUUUCUUCAUGUAUACAAAUUACAGCCUGACUCAGCGACCCCAUGAAUGCUAAAACCAAAACACUGUCCAGGAAAUGGCCCCAGGCGCCAAAGGCUCCAGACUGGUCUCAGGCUCUCCUGCCCACUGCAGUUUAUUCACUUGCUUCUCACCAACACUGAUCCACUUAGGUAAGAAAAAAGACCUUCAAUCCCCUUUGCUGUUUGUUUGUUUUUAAGAAACUAGCAGAGUUCCUGCUUUCCUUCUGUGGUUAUGUAUAAGCUGGAAGACAAAAAAUUCUAAAAUACUUUAUAUGGAUUUUAAAACUGGCAAGUAAUGAUUCCUUUGAGAAAACAAAGAUAUCAGCUAUGCUAUUAUGAUUUAUA